AUUAAACCCGGAUGGUAAAAACCUGGAAGGUGCCUGGCACCUUCCAGGUUUUUACCAUCCGGUGAUGCC
rnacentral:misc_RNA from 1 species